AGCGCGCCCCUCAGGGGGCAUCGGAGCGCCCUUUACGGGCGUCACUUCGCUCCUCAGGGGGGUGAACUCGCCCCUCGGGGUGUCCAGUUCGCCGCUUAAAGCGGUUAGCUCGCCCCUCAGGGGGAUCCAGUCUGGUGCCUUUCGAGGGAUAAAUCAGCACUUUAAGGUGCUGCAUGACUUAGGAACAUCGGGUGCGUGCUGGUUAAUAUCACCAAUGACUGAAGGAGAAGAAACGUGUGCUCCAGCCUUUCUUUUAUCUGUAAACUUGUUCCUAAGUGUUUUCUGCAGUAUUUUCUAUGUACUUGUGUAGGAAUUACAUGAUGGAAAUACUUUUUUUGGCAGUGCAUUUUCCAAGUUGGAGUUUUUGUGGUUUGGGGUUUUUUGUUGUUGUCAUCAUUUAUUUUAUUUUUUUGUUUUUCUUCUGAUUAAAGUUCUUUCAAAAUGUA